AUUGAACGCUGGCGGCAUGCUUUACACAUGCAAGUCGAACGGUAACAGGCCGCAAGGUGCUGACGAGUGGCGAACGGGUGAGUAAUACAUCGGAACGUGCCUAGUAGUGGGGGAUAACUACUCGAAAGAGUGGCUAAUACCGCAUGAGAUCUACGGAUGAAAGCAGGGGAUCGCAAGACCUUGUGCUACUAGAGCGGCCGAUGGCAGAUUAGGUAGUUGGUGGGAUAAAAGCUUACCAAGCCGACGAUCUGUAGCUGGUCUGAGAGGACGAUCAGCCACACUGGGACUGAGACACGGCCCAGACUCCUACGGGAGGCAGCAGUGGGGAAUUUUGGACAAUGGGCGAAAGCCUGAUCCAGCAAUGCCGCGUGCAGGAUGAAGGCCUUCGGGUUGUAAACUGCUUUUGUACGGAACGAGAAGCCCCGGGUUAAUACCCCGGGGUCAUGACGGUACCGUAAGAAUAAGCACCGGCUAACUACGUGCCAGCCGCCGCAGUAA
rnacentral:rRNA from 1 species